UACGUAGGGACCAAGCGUUGUUCGGAUUUACUGGGCGUAAAGGGCGCGUAGGCGGCAUGACAAGUCACUUGUGAAAUCUCUGAGCUUAACUCAGAACGGCCAAGUGAUACUGCAGUGCUAGAGUGCAGAAGGGGCAAUCGGAAUUCUUGGUGUAGCGGUGAAAUGCGUAGAUAUCAAGAGGAACACCUGAGGUGAAGACGGGUUGCUAGGCUGACACUGACGCUGAGGCGCGAAAGCCAGGGGAGCAAACGGG
rnacentral:rRNA from 1 species